GCGAGAAACUUAGCAAUGUGCGAAAGACACGACAAGGUUAAUCCGAGUGGUUUCUGCUAAAGGAACCUUUUGUCAGUCCUAGAAACACUGAUGAAUAAGGGGUGGGCAAGUUCUGGUGUCAGCCGCCGCGGUAAAACUAGCACCUCAAGUGGUCAGGAUGAUUAUUGGGCCUAAAGCAUCCGUAGCCUGCUUUGUAAGUUUUCGGUUAAAUCCAUAUGCUCAACAUAUGGGCUGCC
rnacentral:rRNA from 1 species